UUAGGAAGCUGAAAAAAGGAAAUCUGAUUAUAUAAUCAGGACUCUAAAAGUUAAGUUCAAUAGGAAACUCGAACUAUCUACCAGUUUCAUUACAAGAAUUGGCCAGACCAUGAUGUACCUUCAUCUAUAGACCCUAUUCUUGAGCUCAUCUGGGAUGUACGUUGUUACCAAGAGGAUGACAGUGUUCCCAUAUGCAUUCACUGCAUGCUGGCUGUGGAAGGACUGGUGUUAUUUGUGCUAUUGAUUAUAC
rnacentral:lncRNA from 1 species